rnacentral:ncRNA from 2 species
GUCUUCUGUUGAAUAAGCAGUAAGUAUUCUUCCUUAUAAAAUUUUCAUAGUUGUUAUAAAUCCUGUUUAUUUUUGGAGCUAUCUGAUAACUAAAUAAUCUUCCUUAUUUCUUCUUUUAAUGAAAUGUUUGAUUUGUUUCUCAAUCAAUGAAGAUCCAGCUCCAGGUCCCACAGGGGCUCUUCUUCCCCACGAAAAAGAUCUUAUUCAAGUUCAUCAUCUUCUCCUGAGAGGAACAGAAAGAGAAGUCGUUCUAGAUCUUCUUCAUCUGGUGAUCGCAAAAAAAGACGAACAAGAUCACGGUCACCCGAAAGCCAGGUGAUUGGUGAAAACACUAAACAACCCUGAGCCCAGGGCCAACCCCUACGGAACACCACUACUUUACCCAGACGCCACAGGUCAUCAUCUGGAUCAUCCCAUUCUGGUUCCCGUUCAAGUUCAAAAAAGAAAUAAUGUAUUAAAAUUUACAUCUU